UCACCUCUUCCCAUUCCGAACAGAGCAGUUAAGCCCCCCAUGGCCGAUGGUACUACACAACAAUGUGGGAGAGUAGGUAGUUGCCAUAU
rnacentral:rRNA from 1 species